CGGCAUGGGGGGGUCUAUACAUGCAGUCGACGCUUUGUGGUUCAACUGAUUUGAAGAGCUUGCUCAGAUAUGACGAUGGACAUUGCAAAGAGUGGCGAACGGGUGAGUAACACGUGGGAAACCUACCUCUUAGCAGGGGAUAACAUUUGGAAACAGAUGCUAAUACCGUAUAACAAUGACAACCGCAUGGUUGUUAUUUAAAAGAUGGUUCUGCUAUCACUAAGAGAUGGUCCCGCGGUGCAUUAGCUAGUUGGUAAGGUAAUGGCUUACCAAGGCGAUGAUGCAUAGCCGAGUUGAGAGACUGAUCGGCCACAAUGGGACUGAGACACGGCCCAUACUCCUACGGGAGGCAGCAGUAGGGAAUCUUCCACAAUGGGCGAAAGCCUGAUGGAGCAACGCCGCGUGUGUGAUGAAGGGUUUCGGCUCGUAAAACACUGUUGUAAGAGAAGAAUGACAUUGAGAGUAACUGUUCAAUGUGUGACGGUAUCUUACCAGAAAGGAACGGCUAAAUACGUGCCAGCAGCCGCGGUAAUACGUAUGUUCCAAGCGUUAUCCGGAUUUAUUGGGCGUAAAGCGAGCGCAGACGGUUAUUUAAGUCUGAAGUGAAAGCCCUCAGCUCAACUGAGGAAUUGCUUUGGAAACUGGAUGACUUGAGUGCAGUAGAGGAAAGUGGAACUCCAUGUGUAGCGGUGAAAUGCGUAGAUAUAUGGAAGAACACCAGUGGCGAAGGCGGCUUUCUGGACUGUAACUGACGUUGAGGCUCGAAAGUGUGGGUAGCAAACAGGAUUAGAUACCCUGGUAGUCCACACCGUAAACGAUGAGUGCUAGGUGUUUGAGGGUUUCCGCCCUUAAGUGCCGCAGCUAACGCAUUAAGCACUCCGCCUGGGGAGUACGACCGCAAGGUUGAAACUCAAAGGAAUUGACGGGGACCCGCACAAGCGGUGGAGCAUGUGGUUUAAUUCGAAGCAACGCGAAGAACCUUACCAGGUCUUGACAUCCCUUGACAACUCCAGAGAUGGAGCGUUCCCUUCGGGGACAAGGUGACAGGUGGUGCAUGGUUGUCGUCAGCUCGUGUCGUGAGAUGUUGGGUUAAGUCCCGCAACGAGCGCAACCCUUAUUACUAGUUGCCAGCAUUCAGUUGGGCACUCUAGUGAGACUGCCGGUGACAAACCGGAGGAAGGUGGGGAUGACGUCAAAUCAUCAUGCCCCUUAUGACCUGGGCUACACACGUGCUACAAUGGCGUAUACAACGAGUUGCCAACCCGCGAGGGUGAGCUAAUCUCUUAAAGUACGUCUCAGUUCGGAUUGUAGGCUGCAACUCGCCUACAUGAAGUCGGAAUCGCUAGUAAUCGCGGAUCAGCACGCCGCGGUGAAUACGUUCCCGGGUCUUGUACACACCGCCCGUCACACCAUGAGAGUUUGUAACACCCAAAGCCGGUGGGGUAACCUUCGGGAGCCAGCCGUCUAAAGGGAACAAG
rnacentral:rRNA from 1 species